GGCCGGUCGGCGGCCGCUUGCCGCGUGUGGGCGCCUCGCCGGGUUGUGGAGGGGGUCUCCGGCGUGGGGUUCUCGGUGCCCGGCGCGCCGUCGCUGCAGGGUCGCCUGGAGCCGGCUGCGGACGCGGCGGGACCCGGCGGUAAGGCGGGCGUGUGUCGUGUCUGGGCUGCCCGGUAAUAAAGCGAGGGUGCGAGCCCUCU